UACGGGGGGGGCAAGCGUUGUUCGGAAUUACUGGGCGUAAAGGGCACGUAGGCGGUGAAUCGGGUUGAAAGUGAAAGUCGCCAAAAAGUGGCGGAAUGCUCUCGAAACCAAUUCACUUGAGUGAGACAGAGGAGAGUGGAAUUUCGUGUGUAGGGGUGAAAUCCGUAGAUCUACGAAGGAACGCCAAAAGCGAAGGCAGCUCUCUGGGUCCCUACCGACGCUGGGGUGCGAAAGCGUGGGGAGCAAACAGG
rnacentral:rRNA from 1 species